rnacentral:rRNA from 1 species
UACGAAGGGGGCUAGCGUUGUUCGGAAUCACUGGGCGUAAAGGGCGCGUAGGCGGCUUUAUAAGUCGGGGGUGAAAGCCUGUGGCUCAACCACAGAAUUGCCUUCGAUACUGUAGAGCUUGAGACCGGAAGAGGUAAGUGGAACUGCGAGUGUAGAGGUGAAAUUCGUAGAUAUUCGCAAGAACACCAGUGGCGAAGGCGGCUUACUGGUCCGGUUCUGACGCUGAGGAGCGAAAGCGUGGGGAGUGAACAGG